AUCUGGUUGAUCCUGCCAGUAGUCAUAUGCUUGUCUUAAAGACUAAGCCAUGCAUGUCUAAGUAUAAACACUUGUACUGUGAAACUGCGAAUGGCUCAUUAAAUCAGUUAUAAUUUAUUUGAUGGUCCUUUUUACUACUUGGAUAACCGUGGUAAAUCUAGAGCUAAUACAUGCAUAAAAUCCUAACUCCUUUGAGAGAAGGGAUGUAUUUAUUAGAUACAAAAACCAAUGCAGUUCUUCGGAGCUGGUUAACAUAUGGUGAAUCAUGAUAACUUUACGAAUCGUAUGGUCUUUUGUGCCGACGAUAGUUCAUUCAAAUUUCUGCCCUAUCAACUUUCGAUGGUAGUAUAGAGGACUACCAUGGUGGUAACGGGUAACGGAGAAUCAGGGUUUGAUUCCGGAGAAGGAGCCUGAGAAACGGCUACUACUUCCAAGGAAGGCAGCAGGCGCGCAAAUUACCCAAUCCCGACACGGGGAGGUAGUGACAAAAAAUAACAAUACCGGUUCAUUAUUUGAUCUGGUAAUUGGAAUGAGUACAAUCUAAACCCCUUAACGAGUAACAAUUGGAGGGCAAGUCUGGUGCCAGCAGCCGCGGUAAUUCCAGCUCCAAUAGCAUAUAUUAAAGUUGUUGCAGUUAAAAAGCUCGUAGUUGGAUUUGAGAGUUUUAUAAUUUAAUCCAUAUGGUUUUUCAUGUGUGUUUUAUUAAAUUAUAUUCUCUAAAUAUUUUAUUAGAUAUUCAUUAUUGCACUUAAUUGGGUGAUAAUUUGAUUUUCUUUCGGGAGAGUCAGUGUUUAUUGGACCUUUAUUAGUAAGAUUGUGGAUAUGAAUUCUCUUUGGAGUUUGUGUUCUGCUUAUUAAUAAAACUAAUAAAUAGAAUUCUAAUUCAUUUACUUUGAGUAAAUUAGAGUGUUCAAAGCAAGCAAAUUUGUAAAUUGCAAUGAAUACUAUUAGCAUGGGAUAAUGGAACAAGACAUUGGGUCUAUUUUAUUGGUUUUUUAGAACUAAUGUAAUGAUUAAAAGGGAUAGUUGGGGGCAUUAGUAUUUAAUUGUCAGAGGUGAAAUUCUUGGAUUUAUGAAAGACUAACUUCUGCGAAAGCAUUUGUCAAAGAUGUUUUCAUUAAUCAAGAACGAAAGUUAGGGGAUCGAAGACGAUCAGAUACCGUCGUAGUCUUAACCAUAAACGAUGCCGACCAGGGGUUGGAAGACGUUUUAUUUUGAAUAAAGAUGACUCCUCCAGUACCUUUUUACGAGAAAUCAGUAAGUUUUUGGGUUCUGGGGGGAGUAUGGUCGCAAGGCUGAAACUUAAAGGAAUUGACGGAAGGGCACCACCAGGAGUGGAGCCUGCGGCUUAAUUUGACUCAACACGGGAAAACUUACCAGGUCCAGACACAGUUAGGAUUGACAGAUUGAGAGCUCUUUCUUGAUUCUGUGGGUGGUGGUGCAUGGCCGUUCUUAGUUGGUGGAGUGAUUUGUCUGGUUAAUUCCGAUAACGAACGAGACCUCAGCCUACUAAUUAGUUGUAUUAAUAAUUACAUUUAUGAGGGUUUUUAAUUAAAUGUGGAUUUUGUUAACACUUAAUUUCUUUUUAUUAAGAAAACUCGUUUUUAUUGAUAUUAAAAAAGAUUUAUUCUUUUAAACUUCUUAGAGGGACACUUGGUGUUUAACCAAGGGAAGUUUGAGGCAAUAACAGGUCUGUGAUGCCCUUUAGAUGUUCUGGGCUGCACGCGCGCUACACUGAUACAAUCAACAAGUACAAAAGGCCUUGGCUGAAAAGUCACGCUGAUCUUUUACGAGAUUAGCAUUUUGGGUAAACUUUUGAAAUUGUAUCGUGCUGGGGAUCGAUACUUGCAAUUAUUUAUCGUGAACGAGGAAUUCCUAGUAAGCACAAGUCAACAGCUUGUGCUGAUUACGUCCCUGCCCUUUGUACACACCGCCCGUCGCUGCUACUGAUGGUUGGUCCGGUGAAAUCUUAGGAUUAGAAACAGUUACUUAUUGAUUUCGGUUAAUAAGUUUGUUUUUGAGAAUUUGAGUAAACCUUGCCAACUAAAAGAAGCAAAAGUCGUAACAAGGUAUCCGUAGGUGAACCUGCGGAUGGAUCAUU
rnacentral:rRNA from 13 species